rnacentral:rRNA from 1 species
CAAGCUAACUGCUCAUCAGGGAGACGAUCAGUAGCUGGCUCACGAGAGUGACCAGACACAUACCGAAUUAGUCACGGACCCAACUCUUACGAGUGGCAGCAGUGGGGAAUAAGUCUCAACCAGGCAAAUCGUGAGAAAGAGACGCCGCGUGAGGGAAGAAGUAUUUCGGUAUGUAAAGAUAAAUCAGCAGGGAAGAAAAUGACGGUACCUGACUAAGAAGCCCCGAUUAACUACGUGCCAGCAGGCAGGGUAAUACGUAGGGAGCAUCCGUUAUCCGUCUUUACUGGGUGUAAAGGGAGGGUAGGCGGCAGGUCAAGUCAGUUGUGAAAGCCCGGGGCUCAAUCCACCGAUAGCAUUCGAAAGAAAUCUUUUAUAGUGCGGGAGAGGUAAGUGGAAUUAAUAGUGUAGCGGUGAAAUGAGUAGAUAUUAGGAGCAACACCAGUGGAGAAGGCGGGCUACUGGAUAGUAAGUGACAGAGAGUCUCGCAAGAGGGGGGAGCAAACAGGCUUGGAUACCUACCUAGUUCAUCCCGUCAACGAGAAUGAUAGGUGUUGGGGAGCAAAACCUCUUCGGC